rnacentral:rRNA from 1 species
UCAGAACGAACGCUGGCGGCAUGGAUUAGGCAUGCAAGUCGAACGGGAGCAGCAAUGCUCCAGUGGCGCAAGGGUGAGGAACACGUGAACAACCUGCCUUCGAGUUGGGGAUAGCUUCUGGAAACGGGAGAUAAUACCGAAUAACAUCACCGGGUCGCAUGAUCUGGUGAUCAAAGCAGCAAUGCGCUUGAAGAGGGGUUCGCGUCCCAUUAGCUAGUUGGUGAGGUAACGGCCCACCAAGGCGAUGAUGGGUAGCUGGUCUGAGAGGACGAUCAGCCACAUUGGGACUGAGAUACUGCCCAGACUCCUACGGGAGGCUGCAGUCGAGAAUUUUGGGCAAUGGACGAAAGUCUGAACCCCCAGCAAUGCCGCGUGCGGGAUGAAGGUCUUCGGAUUGUAAACCGCUGUCAAGAGGGACGAAAUUUGACGGUACCUCUGGAGGAAGCCACGGCUAACUACGUGCCAGCCGCUGC